GAAUAUUGGGUUUUUUUUUAGGAAGAAGAAGUAGGGUUUUUAAUUGCAUUAAGAUGCGUGACAAAAAGGACAAAAAAAGGGUUUUCUUUCUUCCUUUUCUUUCUUUCUUUCUUCUUUUUCUUCUUCCUCCAGCCGCCCCCUUGCUACAGUCGCCUUCGUCGGUCGUCUCUCUGUGCCAGCCUUUCACCGGUUGCCUCCUUUUCCGAACCGCCCGCCACUCGACCCGACGCAGGUCGUCUAUCCCAGACACGUUGUUUGCUUCCGUUCCGUGUGAGGCCCAGCCGCGCCAUCUGCUAUUUCUUUUCCACGCUGAGCUACUCGUUCGAGCGAGUUUCAGCCGCGUCGAGCUUCUUUUUCGCGCUCUGUUCGUCUGCCGUUUGUCAUCAGCGCUGGUAGCAGUCGAUUCACCGCAGUCUGAUCGAGCGGUCUGUUAGGGGAACAUGUGUCGGUAAAGGAAGUCUUCAAGCGAAGUAGGGUCUUGUUUUGGACAGUGAGUUAUCCUGAGGUAAAAGUAAUGAUAGACUGGCGCAUGACAAGAGAGAUCCUGACCUGACCAUUAGGACGUUUCACUGCUUCCACAUAUAGCAUUAUAUUCUGAAUUCUGGUUUAGGAGUUAGGUGUCUUUCACUAUUAUGAAAAAUAUAUAAAUUUUAUUAUUUGACUAUUUAAUUUCAAACAUUUGUUUUAGUAGAAAUUAGGGAUACCCCGACUGGUAAAUUAUCUCAUUUUAUUUUGCUUUAGUUUAUUUAAUAUUAUUUAUUUAUGUUUUCCCAUCUUUGCUCGUUUGAGCAUUAUUAAAUAA